rnacentral:lncRNA from 1 species
UCGAGCUAGGAUCGUUUUUCUCUCGGUCUUCAAGAGGUAAGAGCCGAUCUCUAGUUCUAUAUGUGUUUUAAGUAAGUUUUAUGCAAGUUUUUGGGGUAGAAAUGCAUGAGUAGGCUUGAUGGGUUUUUAUGAAAAAUCCAUGGUUUUAAUGUGUGUUUAUGUGCAAUGUGGCUUGCUUGUGUGUUGUAGUUGGGGUUUAAGCUUGUUGGAGACCCCUAGGAGCUUGUAUGCUUGAGUAUGCUUGUUGUAGAAUAGGUUUAUGCAUGAUUGGUUGUGUAGGGGGUUGUUUUGGGCAUGAAGAACCAAGUUUCUGCCCUUUGGCAGAAACCAGGUUCGGCAGCCGAAGGUACUUUCGGN